GCGACAAAAGUCUGGAUCAUCAUUUUCUUGGACGCACAAUUUCAGCCUUUUACGGCUCCUCAGGCAGCUCUUAUGCGCAUUUGGCGCAACUGCAUCUUCAAGAUUUGGUGAAAAAUGACUCAUCGAGGUGAUUUUCGAGGGGGAGUAGCGCCACCGCGCGAGGAGGCGCAGACUCAGGAGCUCAUGCAGCGAAUGACGAUCUUCAGCAGCAGGAAGCAGUAAUGUUUUUCUGCAGCUUCCAUCAAACUGAAGGAUAACUGCAGACGAUCUUCAGCAGCAGCAAACACUUAUGUUUCUCUGCAGCUUCAAUCAAACUGAAGGAUAACUGCAGCCUUCCAGUUGUUACUGCGGAGCAAGUGUCGGGGUGGAAGCGCAGCUGAACUCCUCAGACUUCCAGUUGACAUUCAUGCGUCUCCAAGCCCUGGGACAUUAGAGAAGCGUGGCAGAUACUCCACUGAUGGAGUUUUAUGGCACCUCCAUCUUCCAGCCCUCAUGCCCUGAAAAACUGCAACAUUCUUCUCUGUCAGUCCAGACGUCCUCAUCCAAACCUCAGCUCCUCUCCGCGGGUUCGGUCAUAGACUUUCUCUAAAUCAGGGGUUUGCAACCUGAGGCUCAUGCAGCUCUUUCAUGACUCCAUUGUGACUCUUCAAAAAAAUUAUAAUAAUGAUGGAAAAAUGGGUUGUAGCAUCUGCUUGAUUUGUUUUAGUUUCUGUUUAGAUCUUUAAUAAUUGAACACAAUGAUGGUAAAAAGGUUAAUCUUGUUAGAAAAGAAACGUACGUCCCGUAUUUCUAAUCUUCUGGUGUAUAGAACAUUGUCUUGCUGCUGUUCAGAGGUAUAGUUUUAUAUAACUGUAUGUACAUGUAUAGAUUUGUCAUGUUUAUAUUUUAUUGUCAAAAGGAGAAAAAGGAUGAAAGCUCACCAAAGUCACAUUGAUAGAAAAUUUAAUGAAAUUCAAGAAAAUCUGUUGCAGCAUAAGGAUCGUAUUUGACACAGGGUGCAUUUUAUUUUGAAAGGAAGGUUUAAAUUGUCAUAUAUAGAACACAGUUCAAUAAUUCAAUUAUUGUAACUAUUUAAAGGUUUCAUUUUAUAAAUGAGUGCCCAAAAACAUGUAAAUCUAAACAAAUGGGACUUUGCUGCUCUCACUGGGUUUUGGUCAGCUUCCACCACUCCCACUUCAAUGUGAUUCCUUAGUUUUUAUUUCUCUGUUAUAAUAAAGCUGAGUAAGAAAAUUAACAUUUAAACAACCCUGUUAUAUUUAUUUUUCUCAGGGUUUUUUACAUCUGAGGAUUAAUUAACCAAAAACAUCUGUGAAGAAAUGACAGUAAAACCUGGUGUGACAACCUAAAAGAACAGAACAUGACCACAAACCAAGAAAAGCUCGACAAAGAAAAAUAAACGCACGACUUUACACACAUUUUAUAACAGUCGUCCCACACUGUUUUGUCUUUUUUGGACUCUUUUUUACGUUUAGUUUACGUGCGCUUUGUUCCAAACUCUCAUUUGACAGAUCCACCCCAAACCCAGUUCAGAAACUCUCCUCUGUUGUCAAAAACAAAACAGUUUUUAGGUUAAAUAAAUAAUUUAACCCUACAGGAGAACUUUGAAAGUACAAAAACACUUUUAAAGUACUUUCUCUAGAUUGUUAAAUGUAAGAACAGGUUAAUCUGACCCAGAACACAACAGGAGAGUUAAAAAACAUAAAUGUUUCAUGUCACAUGCUAAUCCCUUCAAUUCAGUGAUUUUAAAUUAGGCCUCAAACUGUUUUGCAGAUCAAACUAUUUUAGAAAUGUAACAAUAAAUAUCAGUAGGUUCAGCAAAUCAAUAAUUGCACAAUAUCUGCAGGAAAAUAACAAUCUUCUUAUAUUCAUAUGGGAUUUAAAAAAAUGUAAUAUUUUAAUCUCACUGCAUUCCUGAAGACCCCAGAAGAGCCAUCCUCAGAAAAGGAUUUGCUCCAACAGCUGCUGGUCACAGAGGCCGGUUCAGUCCGGUUUAAGGACUCAGUUUAGGUUAAACAGCAGAUUGAAUAUUUUAAAAUGUGCCUGUAAAUUUGAAGUGUGGCAAGAAGAUAUCCCAGAUGUGCUCACCCACAUGGAGCUGCAGCUUCAUUCCUCAGCAUUUUGCUCUUUGAGUUUAAUGUGUAAAUUUGUUUUUGAUGAAUUAGAAAUGUUUUACUGUCAUUUAUCUGAUUGUUCUCAUAUAUCCGGUUUCAGAUCUAAGCGGAUCAGAUGAAGCUCGGAUCAACGAUACCAUCAGAGGUAAAAGCAGCUAAAAGGAGGCUUGAUGCUUACAUCAAUGUUGGGAAUUCAUCUUUUCUAUGACUUGUGUGUCAAUCAUCAUUUCUGAUGCAUUCCUAAUAGCUUUGUUUUUUUAUUAAGUCAUCAUUGUAUAGAUUUAUUUCAUGGGUAAAUAAAUUUGUUGAAACAAAA